rnacentral:lncRNA from 1 species
GUUGUCAGUCAUGAUUUGCCUCAUUUUAUCCUCAAAGUCUUGACGGAAAGAGUUGAAAACACAGGGUUACAAGCUCCAUGACAGCAGCAACCAUGCUGUUUUUAUUUAAAGUUUUAAUGGGCUGGAGAAAAAUACUAAUCUGAUGGUAGAGAAACAGAAUGAGUUUGAGACCAGAGGCGAAGUUCUUCCACAGAGCUGGUGGCAAUAAAAACACCGUAUUUUAGUCAUCAGGAACUAUUUGUUUUCUGUUUCUGGGCAUUUGAACAUUUGCCUCUCUUAGCUAUAAAUAGCCAUAAUGUAUGUGUGGAUACCCAUAUCAGAUCCUCCCCUACCAACCCCAGAAAUCCUGCAAUGAGAAAAUAGCUGAGAUAUAAUGACUGAUAACAACAUUAAACUUGGAAAAACAGAGUUUUCUGUUGGAUAGACUGGAAAAUUU